rnacentral:rRNA from 1 species
GAUCCUGGCUCAGGAUGAACGCUAGCUACAGGCUUAACACAUGCAAGUCGAGGGGAAACGAUAUUGGAAGCUUGCUUCCGAUAGGCGUCGACCGGCGCACGGGUGAGUAACGCGUAUCCAACCUGCCCACCACUUGGGGAUAACCUUGCGAAAGUAAGACUAAUACCCAAUGAUAUCUCUAGAAGACAUCUGAAAGAGAUUAAAGAUUUAUCGGUGAUGGAUGGGGAUGCGUCUGAUUAGCUUGUUGGCGGGGUAACGGCCCACCAAGGCAACGAUCAGUAGGGGUUCUGAGAGGAAGGUCCCCCACAUUGGAACUGAGACACGGUCCAAACUCCUACGGGAGGCAGCAGUGAGGAAUAUUGGUCAAUGGACGAGAGUCUGAACCAGCCAAGUAGCGUGCAGGAAGACGGCCCUAUGGGUUGUAAACUGCUUUUAUAAGGGAAUAAAGUGAGUCUCGUGAGACUUUUUGCAUGUACCUUAUGAAUAAGGACCGGCUAAUUCCGUGCCAGCAGCCGCGGUAAUACGGAAGGUCCGGGCGUUAUCCGGAUUUAUUGGGUUUAAAGGGAGCGUAGGCCGGAGAUUAAGCGUGUUGUGAAAUGUAGAUGCUCAACAUCUGAACUGCAGCGCGAACUGGUUUCCUUGAGUACGCACAAAGUGGGCGGAAUUCGUGGUGUAGCGGUGAAAUGCUUAGAUAUCACGAAGAACUCCGAUUGCGAAGGCAGCUCACUGGAGCGCAACUGACGCUGAAGCUCGAAAGUGCGGGUAUCGAACAGGAUUAGAUACCCUGGUAGUCCGCACGGUAAACGAUGGAUGCCCGCUGUUGGUCUGAAUAGGUCAGCGGCCAAGCGAAAGCAUUAAGCAUCCCACCUGGGGAGUACGCCGGCAACGGUGAAACUCAAAGGAAUUGACGGGGGCCCGCACAAGCGGAGGAACAUGUGGUUUAA